CGCUGUCGCGCCGCGCUACCACGCCUGGAACCACCGUCACCCCGACGUCGCCGCUGCUGAAGCAACGCCGCCGCCCGGAUCUGCUGCUGCUUCGCCCGGAGUCGAGGUCGCCGCUGCUGAAGCAACGCCGCGCCGCCCGGAUCUGCUGCUGCUUCGCCCGGAGUCGAGGUCGCCGCUGCUGAAGCAACGCCGCCGCCCGGAUCUGCUGCUGCUUCGCCCGGAGUCGAGGUCGCCGCUGCUGAAGCAACGCCGUCGCCCGGAUCUGCUGCUGCUUCGCCCGGAGUCGAGGUCGCCGCCCCCUGAAACCCCG
rnacentral:lncRNA from 1 species